ACCCCACUGCUAUCGGGAUAGGACUAAGACAUGCUAGUCGUGCGCUUCCUAGCCAAUUUGGGAGCGCGGCACACAGCUCAGUAACACGUGGCUAACCUGCCCUUGGGACCAGAAUACCCCCGGGAAACUGGGGCUAAUUCUCGAUAGGUGAAGAACUCUGGAAUGAGUCUUCGCUUAAAAGAGGCUGGGGUUAUGCUCUCCAGUUUCGCCCAAGGAUGGGGCCGCGACCGAUCAGGUUGUUGGUGAGGUAAUGGCUCACCAAGCCUUUUACCGGUGCGGGCCGUGAGAGCGGGAGCCCGGAGAUGGGCACUGAGACAAGGGCCCAGGCCCUACGGGGCGCAGCAGUCGCGAAAACUUUGCAAUAAGCGAAAGCUUGACAGGGCUAUCCCGAGUGCCAUCCGCUGAGGAAGGCUUUUACCCAGUCUAGAACGCUGGGGGAAUAAGGAGAGGGCAAGUCUGGUGUCAGCCGCCGCGGUAAUACCAGCUCUCCGAGUGGUGUGGAUGUUUAUUGGGCCUAAAGCAUCCGUAGCUGGCUAGGUUAGUCCCCUGUUAAAUCCACCGAAUUAAUCGUUGGAUUGCGGGGGAUACUGCUUGGCUAGGGGACGAGAGAGGCAGACGGUAUUUCCGGGGUAGGGGUGAAAUCCUAUAAUCCCGGGAAGACCACCAGUGGCGAAGGCUGUCUGCUAGAACGCGCCCGACGGUGAGGGAUGAAAGCUGGGGGAGCGAACCGGAUUAGGUACCCGGGUAGUCCCAGCUGUAAACGAUGCAGGCUAGGUGUUUGGACGGCCACGUGCCGUUCUAGUGCCGCAGGGAAGCUGUUAAGCCUGCCGCCUGGGGAGUACGAUCGCAAGAUUGAAACUUAAAGGAAU
rnacentral:rRNA from 1 species